rnacentral:rRNA from 1 species
UACGUAGGGUGCGAGCGUUAAUCGGAAUUACUGGGCGUAAAGCGUGCGCAGGCGGUUCGUUAAGUCAGACGUGAAAGCCCCGGGCUCAACCUGGGAACUGCAUUUGAAACUGGCGGGCUUGAGUGUGGCAGAGGGGGGCGGAAUUCCGCGUGUAGCAGUGAAAUGCGUAGAGAUGCGGAGGAACACCGAUGGCGAAGGCAGCCCCCUGGGCCAACACUGACGCUCAGGCACGAAAGCGUGGGGAGCAAACAGG